UUAAGUCUUGACGAGUAAGAGGGUCGCGACGGUGAGCGCAGAAGGGUCAGGGCGAGAGCCUGCCUGGAGCCGCCGUCGGUGCAGAUCUUGGUGGUAGUAGCAAAUACUCUAGCGAGGGCCUGGAGGACUGACGUGGAGAAGGGUUUCUUGUGAACAGCCGUUGCACAAGAGUCAGUCGACCCUGAGCCCUAGGAGAAAUCCAAUGUCGAUGGGUAGCUUGACAAAUAAAAUGGCAAAACAGUAUAUAUACUAUACACACAAAAGCGGUGUGAAAUCUGUGAAGUGUGUUUGUGUGUGUCUGCAGCGCUGUAUUGUAUGUUAAAUAGCUCCUGUCGGGCAAAAGGGAAUCCGGUUCCUAUUCCGGAACCCGGCUGCGUAACCGUCACUUUGCGGGCACUUGCUUGCGAGCGCUCGUCGGGGUAACCCAAACUGGCCUGGAGACGCCGGCGGGGGGUCUGGAAAGAGUUUUCUUUUCUUUAUAAGCGUUCGAGUACCCUGGAAUCCUAUAGCAGGGAGAUAGGGUUUGGAACGCGAAGAGCACCGCAGUUGCGGCGGUGUCCGGACCUUCCCCCCGGACCUUGAAAAUCCAGGUGAGGGCCACGCGGAAGUCGCGCCGG
rnacentral:rRNA from 1 species